rnacentral:rRNA from 15 species
UGACCUCAAAUCAGGUAGG